rfam:Oryza sativa Japonica Group DNA, chromosome 12, cultivar: Nipponbare, complete sequence.
UUUAAACGUAGUCAUGAUUUUUCGUAUCCAACUUUGAUCGUCCGUCUUAUUUGAAAUGUUUUUAUGAUUAGUAUUUUUAUUGUUAUUAGAUAAUAAAACAUGAAUAAUACUUUAUGUGUGACUUAUGUUUUUAAUUUUUGUCAACUUUUUUAAAUAAAACGAACUGUUAAAAUUGUACACGAAAACUUAUGGCUGUACUUAAA